rnacentral:rRNA from 1 species
CGCGUAGGCGGUUAGGAAAGUCAGAUGUGAAAUUCCGGAGCUCAACUCCGGAGCUGCAUUUGAAACUUCCUGGCUAGAGUGCAGUUAGGGAAAACGGAAUUCCACGUGUAGCGGUGAAAUGCGUAGAUAUGUGGAAGAACACCGGUGGUGAAGACGGUUUUCUGGGCUGUAACUGACGCUGAGGCGCGAAAGCAAGGGGAGCAAACA